rnacentral:rRNA from 1 species
AGCAUCGCCGCGGGAAUACGGAGGGUGCAAGCGUUAAUCGGAAUUACUGGGCGUAAAGCGCACGCAGGCGGUCUGACAAGUCAGAUGUGAAAUCCCCGGGCUUAACCUGGGAACUGCAUUUGAAACUGUCAGGCUGGAGUCUUGUAGAGGGGGGUAGAAUUCCAGGUGUAGCGGUGAAAUGCGUAGAGAUCUGGAGGAAUACCGGUGGCGAAGGCGGCCCCCUGGACAAAGACUGACGCUCAGGUGCGAAAGCGUGGGGAGCAAACAGGAUUAAAUACCCCUGUAGUCCCUGUCUCUUAUACA